rnacentral:rRNA from 1 species
UGACCCUACGGGAGGCAGCAGUGAGGAAUAUUGGUCAAUGGACGGAAGUCUGAACCAGCCAUGCCGCGUGCAGGAAGACGGCUCUAUGAGUUGUAAACUGCUUUUGUACAAGGGUAAACCUGAAUACGUGUAUUCAGCUGAAAGUACUGUACGAAUAAGGAUCGGCUAACUCCGUGCCAGCAGCCGCGGUAAUACGGAGGAUCCAAGCGUUAUCCGGAUUUAUUGGGUUUAAAGGGUGCGUAGGCGGGAUGCCAAGUCAGCGGUAAAAAUGCGGUGCUCAACGCCGUCGAGCCGUUGAAACUGGC